rnacentral:rRNA from 1 species
UACGGAGGGUGCAAGCGUUAUCCGGAUUCACUGGGUUUAAAGGGUGCGUAGGCGGAUAUGUAAGUCCGUGGUGAAAUCUCUGGGCUUAACCCGGAAACUGCCAUGGAUACUAUGUGUCUUGAAUGUUGUCGAGGUGAGCGGAAUAUGUCAUGUAGCGGUGAAAUGCUUAGAUAUGACAUAGAACACCAAUUGCGAAGGCAGCUCACUAAGCAAAUAUUGACGCUGAGGCACGAAAGCGUGGGGAUCAAACAGG